rnacentral:rRNA from 2 species
CUUCCCCUUCGGGGGACAAAGUGACAGGUGGUGCAUGGUUGUCGUCAGCUCGUGUCGUGAGAUGUUGGGUUAAGUCCCGCAACGAGCGCAACCCUUAAGCUUAGUUGCCAUCAUUAAGUUGGGCACUCUAAGUUGACUGCCGGUGACAAACCGGAGGAAGGUGGGGAUGACGUCAAAUCAUCAUGCCCCUUAUGAUUUGGGCUACACACGUGCUACAAUGGACAAUACAAAGGGCAGCGAAACCGCGAGGUCAAGCAAAUCCCAUAAAGUUGUUCUCAGUUCGGAUUGUAGUCUGCAACUCGACUACAUGAAGCUGGAAUCGCUAGUAAUCGUAGAUCAGCAUGCUACGGUGAAUACGUUCCCGGGUCUUGUACACACCGCCCGUCACACCACGAGAGUUUGUAACACCCGAAGCCGGUGGAGUAACCUUUUAGGAGCUAGCCGUCGAAGGUGGGACAAAUGAUUGGGGUGAAGUCGUAACAAGGUAGCCGUAUCGGAAGGUGCGGCUGGAUCACCUCCUUUCUAAGGA